UAGUUACUCCCUCCGUUCCAAAUUAUUCGUCGCAGAAAUGGAUGUAUUUAGAACUAAUAUACAUCUAGAUACAUCCAUACAUGCGACAAGUAAUUCGGAACGGAGGGAGUAUUAC
rnacentral:pre_miRNA from 1 species